rnacentral:rRNA from 1 species
UACAGAGGGGGCAAGCGUUGUUCGGAAUUACUGGGCGUAAAGCGGGCGCAGGCGGUUCGUUGUGUCGGUGGUGAAAGCCCCGGGCUUAACCUGGGAAUGGCCAUGGAAACUGGCGAACUGGAGUGUGGCAGAGGGGGGUGGAAUUCCGCGUGUAGCAGUGAAAUGCGUAGAGAUGCGGAGGAACACCGAUGGCGAAGGCAGCCCCCUGGGCUAGCACUGACGCUCAGGCACGAAAGCGUGGGGAGCAAACAGG